UUUACCAGAAAUCUCCUCUCCUUCCUCCUCCGCCAUUUAGCAAAAUCUUUCUUCUUCGGAUGGAUAUACGAAAAAGCAACAGACCCACUUGUAAGACGAUUUGAAACUGUCUGAAUCAGUUAGUCUCUGUUCCCAAAUGCAGAGAACGCUCUCACUUGCGGCUGCUAAGUCUCCUUCUUCGACUUCACCUCUGUCUCUUCGUCCUCUCAUGGCUAAGUUGCAGUUGCAGUGCAGGACAAUUCAGAGUUUUCCAGCCUCAUCUUCCUCUUCAGUAGUUAGGAUUGAUAAAGUCGUUAGAAAUGUAUGCCAGCUUCAGUUUAAAAGAGAGAACGCAAGUUGUUUUACCUUAGCUUGCGCACUUCCUUCCAUCAGUUCUGUUAGUUAUGCUGCACAUUGGAGCAGCUUAACGUCUUUUGGAAGUAGUUUCAAAACGUUUCCAGGGAGAUAUUUUUCUCAAGUCCCUAAUACUGGGAAUAAGGAUAAGGUUAUCAGGAAGUUUAAUAAGAAGCAUGAGGUUUUGGCUUCCUCUGGAGUUGAAGCGGUAGUGACUUCUACUGAACCGGUUAUUGGAGAUGUUAGCAGUGGCAUCAAGGUGGAGUUAUCAACUGCACCUUCACCUGCUGCUAGCAUCGGUAAGAAAUUCUCUACUGUCAAACCAAAACGGCGCCCAAAGAGCAAGAAAGUCGAAGAUAAAUCUUCUCCAGCGGUUUCGGUUCUGGAAGAGAGUUUGAAUGCUGUUCCCAAGCCAAAAGGUUCUGGAAAUCGAAAAUCUUCAUCUGCUAAGAAGGAGGUGGCAAAAGAUCCCACUGUUGAGGAGCCCAAAAGUUCUGCCCCAUCAAAAACAGAAGCAAGCAAUCCCACUGCUAGCAAAGCUAAGCAAGCCUCUCCUGUCAAAACGAAGCGGCGGCCAAAGAGCAAGAAAGUGGAUGAUAAAUCUUCCUCAGCAGUACCAGUUACGGAGGAGGUUUCUGUAGAAGAGAGUUCAAAAAGCGUUCCCAAGCCAAAACGUUCUGGCUCUGGAAAUCGAAAGUCUUCAUCUGUUAAGAAGGAGGUGGCAAAAAGCUCUUCUCCAUCAGCAAAAGCAAGCAAUACACCAAAACAUAAGCAGGUUCCUCAAGCUCAACCCAUGCAAAACAGCAUAGAGCAUCGAGGUCAAAAUGCUUCUAAACCACUUUUUCCGCCAAGUGGAAAAUCUGUUAUUGUCGUUGAGUCAAUCACGAAAGCAAAAGUUAUUCAGGGUUAUCUUGGUGACAUGUACGAAGUUUUGCCAAGUUAUGGUCAUAUCAGAGACCUGGCCUCAAGGUCUGGUUCAGUCAGGCCAGAUGACGAUUUUAGCAUGGUUUGGGAGGUUCCAUCUUCCGCCUGGACUCAUAUUAAGAGCAUAAAGAUGGCAUUAAAUGGAGCUGAAAAUCUGAUUCUUGCAUCGGAUCCAGAUCGUGAAGGAGAGGCCAUUGCCUGGCACAUCAUUGAGAUGUUGCAGCAGCAAGGUGCCUUACAUGAGUGUAUGACAGUAGCAAGGGUUGUUUUUCAUGAGAUCACUGAGUCAGCAAUAAAAACUGCACUUCAAUCCCCACGAGAAAUUGAUGGGGACUUGGUACACGCCUAUCUCGCAAGGCGUGCUCUUGAUUACCUAAUCGGUUUUAAUAUUUCACCACUACUUUGGAGGAAACUUCCGGGUUGCCCCUCAGCUGGGCGAGUACAGUCUGCUGCUUUGGCGCUUAUAUGUGAUAGAGAAAGUGAAAUUGACGGAUUUAAACCUCAGGAGUACUGGACUGUAGGGAUCAAAGUGCAAGGGAAAGAUAGUUCAUCUACUGUUUCAGCUCACUUGACCAGUCUAAAUUCGAAAAAGUUAAAUCAGCUUUCUAUCAGCUCUGAAGCAGAUGCACAGGACAUUGAGCAAAGGAUAAGAUCAGAAGGUUUUCUAGUGAAGAGCAUUAAGAAAAGCACUACACGGAGAAAUCCACCAACUCCAUAUAUAACAUCAACCCUCCAGCAGGAUGCAGCUAACAAAUUGCAUUUUUCAUCAGCAUAUACCAUGAAGCUUGCUCAAAAACUAUACGAAGGUGUCCAACUGUCUGAUGGUAAAUCAACUGGUCUUAUAACAUACAUGCGGACAGAUGGUUUACAUAUAGCUGAUGAAGCUAUCAAGGAUAUACAGUCAUUGGUGGUAGAAAGGUAUGGGGAGAGUUUUACAUCAGAUGGUCCUCGUAAAUAUUUUAAAAAGGUUAAGAACGCUCAGGAGGCGCAUGAAGCUAUUAGACCUACCAAUAUACGUAGAUUACCAUCAACGAUUGCUAGCCUGCUUGAUUCGGAUUCUCUAAAAUUGUAUACCUUAAUAUGGUCGCGAUCUGUGGCAUGUCAGAUGGAGCCUGCUUCUGUUGUGCAGAUACAAGUUGAUAUUGGAAAUGCCUCUGAAUCAAUUAUCUUCAGAUCAUCAUGCUCAAAAGUCGUUUUUCUUGGAUACCAGGCAGUUUACGAGGACCCUGAAACUAAGACAAUCAAAACCAAAGACGAUGAAAAGAGUAGUGAGCGGGAGGAAACUUUUGAAACUCUCAGUUUGUUGAAGGAUUGGGAUCCGUUACAUAUUGGUGAAGUGGAGCUCAAGCAGCACCAUACUCAGCCCCCACCACGCUAUUCCGAAGGGUCACUGAUUAAAAAGCUUGAGGAGCUCGGGAUAGGUAGACCCUCGACAUAUGCAUCUAUAUUUAAAGUUUUACAGGACAGAAAGUACCUAACAAUAAAGAGCCGAGUACUGUAUCCGGAGUUCCGUGGGAGGAUGGUUUCAGCUUUUCUUACCAACUACUUCACUGAGGUCACAGAUUAUAGUUUUACUGCUGAUAUGGAGACCGAGCUUGACAACGUUUCUGGUGGCGUUACUAAUUGGAAAGGUCUCCUAAGAGACUACUGGACACGAUUCAGUGCGUAUUGUAAACGUGUCGAAAGUGUCCAAAUCCAACAGGUGGAGAAAAUGUUGGAAAAAAAAUACGAGGACUUUUUGUUUUCUUCCCUUCCUGAUCCUACCAGAACUUGCCCGAGAUUGUGCAGUUAUGAUUGGGUUUCUUUCCAUAUUUCAGUUGUUCGGAAGGUACCUUAAUUUUCAAAGUUAGCAAGUUUGGUACGGGGUAUUUCAUCGGCUGUGAUGGCUACCCUUCGUGCAAAUUCAUUGCAAAAACACUUUAUGGGGAGGAUGAAGAUGAAGAUGAUUCUCCAAGGAAUACCUGCGUAGAAGAGCCCAAAUUGCUGGGUCUUCAUCCCAAUACCAAUGAGAAGGUUAUUUUAAAGUGCGGCCCUUAUGGGUAUUAUGUACAGCUUGGUGAGGACAAGAAAGGACACUUACCAAAACGAGCAAAUGCAGCCCAUAUAAAGGAUGUGAGCUCUAUUACGCUUGAAAGUGCUCUCGAGUUAUUACGCUAUCCUCUGACACUGGGAACCCACCCAGAAGAUGGACAGCCUGUGACCUUGAAGCUAAGUAAAUCUGGAUUUACGGUUCGACAUCGCCGCACAAUGGCUACUGUUCCAAAGAACACUGAACCAAGUGAGGUUACUUUAGAGAAAGCACUGAAACUCUUGUCUGGCAAAAAUGUGAGACUGUGUGGCAGACCUAAGAGGGUUAAGCCAACAGUAGAUGAGGAAUCAGAAAGAGAUGAAGUUGUGGAGACGAUGUAAUCUCUAAUCCACAACGUUAAGCUGUUGAGCUAAUUUACAAUUGGUUCGUGAGCUUUCACAUAUAAAGAAGAGCAUUAGCUCUGAUAGAAAUUAUUUGAACAUUCUUUUUGGUAAGCAGAAUAAUAAUCGUAACGAAAAAGAUUGGAUACUAUUGUAAGAUUACAAUACAUUUGUUAAUGAUAUGAAAGUUUCUUUAGAAGGA